GUUCUUCCCUGCACUGCCAUUCUAGAAAUCUGAAGCAUUGUGACCUCAGCUCCAUGCUACACACUAACCAACAUGGCAGCUGGCUUAUGGCAAUUAGAAAAGUGGCUCUUCUCAAGGCUGUGAUAGUCCAUGGUUUGAUGAUCAACCUGUGAAACCUCUGAGCCCGGAUCAAUUACCCUCCAGAGGGAUCCCAACACUCUUCUCAUCACUUGGAGAACACUAUCAUUUCUGUGCUCUUUGCACUGGGAGCCUCUCACAGCAGGAUCUACGUCAGGCCAAGGCUGAGGAGGCCUUCCGUGGAGAAGCCCUGGCCCAGGAGGGAAGCUGAGCCCCAGAGCACUCCAGCUCACUCUUUUCCAUCAAAAUCCUGCUCUAUCUUCAAGAUCCAACUCAU
rnacentral:lncRNA from 1 species